rnacentral:rRNA from 1 species
CGGCGGACGGGUGAGUAACACGUGGAUAACCUACCUAUAAGACUGGGAUAACUUCGGGAAACCGGAGCUAAUACCGGAUAAUAUUUUGAACCGCAUGGUUCAAAAGUAAAAGACGGUCUUGCUGUCACUUAUAGAUGGAUCCGCGCUGCAUUGGCUAGUUGGUAAGGUAACGGCUUACCAAGGCAACGAUGCAUAGCCGACCUGAGAGGGUGAUCGGCCACACUGGAACUGAGACACGGUCCAG